GUCGGAAUUGCUAGUAAUCGCGGAUCAGCAUGCCGCGGUGAAUACGUUCCCGGGCCUUGUACACACCGCCCGUCACACCAUGAGAGUUGAGAAUACCCGAAGCCCAUGUCAAAGUGGUCGAAGGUAGGCUUGAUGAUUGGGGUGAAGUCGUAACAAGGUAUC
rnacentral:rRNA from 1 species